UACAGAGGGGGCGAGCGUUGUUCGGAAUUACUGGGCGUAAAGGGCGCGUAGGCGGCCUUCUAAGUCGAACGUGAAAUCCCCGGGCUCAACCCGGGAACUGCGUCCGAUACUAGGAGGCUUGAAUCCGGGAGAGGGAUGUGGAAUUCCAGGUGUAGCGGUGAAAUGCGCAGAUAUCAGGAGGAACACCAAUGGCGAAGGCAGCUCGCUGGAACGGUACUGACGCUGAGGCGCGAAAGCGUGGGGAGCGAACAGG
rnacentral:rRNA from 1 species